GUGCGUCGUGUCAUGGGGGGUAUGACAAUGGUCUGAAUCAGCCCGUCCAAAUAAACAUCAGUAAUCAGAGACCAUUUGACAUAAAGCUUCCAAACUUGGUUAGAUUCUACAAAUGUAUAGUGCCAAAUUCCCUUGUCAUUAUAUAUCAUCAGUUUAUUGAUUUGACAAUUUUUACAAAAUGCUAUGGAAUUUUUACCUUUUUCUAGGAAUUUU
rnacentral:lncRNA from 1 species